UACGAAGGGGGCUAGCGUUGUUCGGAAUUACUGGGCGUAAAGCGCGCGUAGGCGGUGAUCUAUGUCAGGGGUGAAAUCCCGGGGCUCAACUCCGGAAUUGCCUUUGAAACUAGAUUGCUAGAAUCUUGGAGAGGUCAGUGGAAUUCCGAGUGUAGAGGUGAAAUUCGUAGAUAUUCGGAAGAACACCAGUGGCGAAGGCGACUGACUGGACAAGUAUUGACGCUGAGGUGCGAAAGCGUGGGGAGCAAACAGG
rnacentral:rRNA from 1 species